rnacentral:ncRNA from 1 species
UAUGAAGAGGUUCUUAGCCCAAACCCUCUAUAAAAAACUAAGCCACG